rnacentral:rRNA from 1 species
GACGAACCGUGCGAACGUUGUUCGGAUUCACUGGGCUUAAAGGGCGCGUAGGCGGGCGGUCAAGUCAGGGGUGAAAUCUUUCGGCUCAACCGGAAAAGUGCCUUUGAUACUGGCCGUCUCGAGGGAGGUAGGGGCAUGCGGAACUAUUGGUGGAGCGGUGAAAUGCGUUGAUAUCAAUAGGAACUUCGGUGGCGAAGGCGGCAUGCUGGACCUUUUCUGACGCUGAGGCGCGAAAGCCAGGGGAGCAAACAGG